UAACGCAUUAUAAUAAUUUUAAUAAGCGUCAAGUUAACCAAAGCUAGAAGACCUUAUGUAGACAGGAUGGAGGACGUCUUCUAAACAAAACAAAACAAAACAAAAUCUUGCCAACACCUUUUUGAGACGUUUACAAGUCGUUUUGUGCUACUACUACUACUAGGGAACGCACUGAUAGCUUUGACGCUCUACAACACUUGUCAGGUAAAUUUAUUGCAGAGUCCUAUGAAACCAAACUUCAGUGAGAGAAUGUGUUGACCGGAAGCAUGACCACGUUUGAAUUCCAUUAAAAUCUUUAACUUCGGCGAACCGAUUCAGUCGAAAGGCUGGAAGGUGGACCGUUCGAAUCGUACCACCGGCUGUACUGCCUGAGAUUUUCGUUGAGUUCUCCGAAGACUUCCCAGACGAAUGUUUGCACAGUUCCCCUUGAAGUCGGCCCAGGACGCAUACUAAACCCCAUGUCCCCCACUCCUUCCUGCUGUCCUCUCUACAUCUGUCCACAUCUAUAGGCUGCUCCAACAGCUGCUUCGCGGCGCUAACGGGGGAAUUUAAAAAAAAAGUUGAAUGCCUUUGCGGUAAGUUUGUUUCGGUACAAGUUCGCAGCGAGUUUUAAAUUUGGUGAUGUUUCACCGUCAGUGAUGAGUCAAUUCGAUGCAAAAUGACUCGGAGAAAACUUUUAGUUAUGUUUCACCAGUUUGCCUGCACUUUGAAUCUUACCCAUUCCAUAAACAUCUCCUCAAAGUGAGUAGGCGACCGCCGAAUAUGGUGCCCCACUCCGCAAGAAGACGACAGCUUCACAGAUUACACCAUAGAUGGCGACUGCGCAGCCACUGCGCUGUAGCACAGUGCACAUGGUGAACGAGCAAACACCCAAAGAAUCGUCGGUAUAGCCUGGUGAAUUGGUGAGCGGAUGUUUUCACCCUUCGGUUCAUUCGAGUGCCUCGUAGGACGAAUCAUUCACGAACGACAUAUUUCUCAUUGACUGGAACGAAUGGAACAGAGAGUUUCGUUUUUGCAGUCUGCUGCCUGGGCCGGGCUACCACAACACGGCGUGAGCAGCGUGAGCGUCACUCACUUGGGCCGUCAGCUGCAGUUUAUAACGCUGUGCCAUCGCGGU